rnacentral:tRNA from 1 species
GGGGAUUUAGCUCAGAGGUAGAGAGCGCUUGCCUAGCAAGCGCAAGGCCCUGGGUUCAGUCCCCA